GCUGUCGCCAGCUCAAUCAGCGCCCAGGUGGCCCUGAUAAGAGGGCUGUGGGCCAGAAGCUGAAGGAGUCUCACACUAGCUCUGGAGUGGGAAGGACCUAGCUACCUGGGAACCAGGUUUGUACUGCUGCAGCCAUCAUGAGGUGAUGCUUUCUCAUCUGGCAACAGGACAUACCCACCAAACUGAACAGGCUGUUUCCUUCAUGCUACCUCAGUGUACAUUCAGUUACUGUGCUGUGUAGCAGGGAGACAUCACAGAAAGACCACUCUGAGGAAAAUUCCAGAAGAAAAUAUGAAAACCAGAUUUCCCUUGUUUCCUCCUGGCUACGCUCAGAAAUUCAUUCUUUUCCCCACAUCCCCACCCUGCCUCCACAAAUCACCUGCUUCUAGACAGAUGACAGACACAUCCUUUCAAGCCUCCUUGAGAUGGUUCCUGACUCAUGUGGAGACAGAAGGCCUCAGAACUGUGAACCUUCCUGGAGUCAGAGGAGGAGCAGCAGAGAAUAACUGGCACUGAGGUUGCCUGCUUUUCCACUGGGGCUCUCUCAGUAGCCAGUAGAGGGAGAUGUUUCUCUCUCGAGUGAACAACCUGUGUUUGCUUCAGUUGCUACUAAGACAAAAGGCCCUUUUGGAGACACAGCCGCAGGCAGUAAACACAUCUGCCCCUUGACCCUUUCCUGAAAAUGGUCAUUGGACAAAUGUCCAGUUUCCCAUUGGUCUAGUCUAGACCUGGUAAGAGAGAGGAUACAAUGUGCUGGGAGAGUGUAGGAUGGUGGAUGACUGUCCUUAUGUCCAGCACAGGACCCCAAAUUCUUCUUGUUACUCCUGCAUACCGAAGGCAUAAUAAUAGGUACUUGGCCCAGGAGGAGAGCUGCCUCUUGCUCAGUUAUAUAUCUUUCCCUCAUGCACAUCUUCGCCACUCCCCUUUUUUGCUGCCGUAGGAUCUGGCCUAUAACUCACCAGCUUACACAUCCUGUUGUACUCAUAUAAUGAAUUAAUGAAAAAAAACUACAUGGAAUGUGGACCUGCUGAGCUGACUCUCUUCAAAAAAAAAAAAAAAAAAAAAGCCCAUUCAGGGAGAGAAAAUAUAUACAGGAUACUAUCAAAAAUUCUUCAGAUUUCUCUUACUGUUGCUCUGUAUUUAUUUCACUGAAGAAUGUGAUUAUCCACUACAUACAAACUACUGUUUUUGCUUCUCACGUGAGAUGUGGCCACAUUGUGCAGUGCAACAAAGAAAGUACAAGGCACCUGUGUAACUGCAUAGGUGUCUUCUAUGCGCAUUGGGAAAUACAGCCAGCAGAUACCAUAAUAAUGUCCCAACAUUAGAAAAAAACAAUUUUUUGGCAAAUUGUGACUGAUUUAUAGGAGUAACAAAUCUAUAUUUAGUUUGUAGUUUUUAAAAAUAGUUUCCUUGUGAAUCAUAUCCAGUGUUGCCCCCUUUUUGAAGUCCCUGGUUCCCAGGAAGGAACUCCCAGCUACUGUGGAAGAACUCUCAGGUCCACUAUCCCUUCUGCAAACAGUUUUCAGCACCACAAGAAUUGCAAAUGUUGGGUAUUGUAACUAAGCCUGGCACCCCUGAGGUUAUAUGGUGCUCUCUGGGCCAGAUCUGGUACCUCAUGAAGUCAUUCCAUCAGGCUCCCUGUCCACACACUGGUCUUCAGAAGGAUGGCCUGGUGGCUAGAGCAUUAGCCUGUGACUCAGGAGAGCUGGAUUCAAUUCUCUGCUUCCACAGACUUCCUGUAUGAUCUUGGGCAGGUCACUUAAGGUAAAAUUUUCAAAAGCACCUACCUGACUAAGGAGCCUAACUCCCUUAAGUAGACAGCUGCUUCUUUGUAGCACCAUUUGGUGGAGGAUUGCAGUCCCUGUUGCUCUCGAGCAAUAAUUCAGUUACCCCCUGGUCCUUAGCCUCCUCCAAUGUGAGAGUUCACUUUCCUUCUCUCUGGGAACCCGAUAGUUCAUAAAUCCAGUAUAAACCACCAUAUCUAAUUCCAGGAAUCUUAAAUAAAAGCAGGGUUUAUUUGGCAGGAGGGCAGAAAAUAAAGAGAGCAUUGAAAGGCAUGUGAAGCAGAAUUUAGGCCCUGAUUCAGCAAAGCUCUCAAACACAUGCUUUGCUGGAUGGAUUUAAGCAAAUGCUUUGCUCAAUCAGUGCCAUAAGCAUCUAGAUAAAUCCUUAAAAUAAGUCCAGCUAAACCAGCUCUAGCCUUAAGUGCAUAGACUAAUGUAUAAACAAGAUGAAAACCUUUCAGAUUGGAAUGUCCUUGUUCUGACUCACAGCACCAUGCUGUCGGUCAGCUCAGUUUUCCAGCUACUCUCUCACAUAGUUUAUCUGUCAAGGUAUGUCAUGUCCCAGUAUUUCCCACAUCCAUCUUGUCUUUGAUCUGGAAAUGAAGUGUUUACCCACUUUAAUACCUUAUAGUUGUCCUUUUAAAUCCCUGCUCAACAAGGACCUGAUCCUGCCUGGUGCAGACCAUUCUUGUCCUGAUCUAGCGAAGCACUUAAACAUCGACUUUGGUGGUUCACGGGCACGUGCUUAAAUUUAAACAUGUGCUAGACUGGGGGCAAAAUGUUCAACAGCUGGUCAAGUUGAGCCCUGCUACUAUAGGUUUGUGUCAGUUCCCAAGCACAGUUAUUUUUGUAUAUAAUGCAAGUGUUUCUCUCAUUGUUUUAUGUUAGAUUUUAGUUUAUUCUCCUGGUUCGGUUUAUAAGAUUUAAAUCCCAUAAAAGUUCCUUCCCACAUGCACACAUAAUUUAGCCAAAGACA